GUUUAAAGAGAUGAGCCAUUAUGAGGUGGAGCCGUCCACCAACCCAAGAACACACUCAACACUAUGGUAUCCAAACUAGUGUCAGAUUGACUCUUACUUUCAGGGGACGUCAUAAGACACAGGUGAGGUCCUUGGGAACAAGGCUGCAUGCAUGUUCAUCAGAAUUUGGGUGAAUGAAAAAAAACUAGAAGAGGGGUUGAAUGAUAUAAUCGGGAUCAAGAAGAUGUCAUCAGAUGAACAAGCAAGAAAGCAUGGAAGUAUCAUCACCAAAAGCAUCAGUUACCCUACCAGAAUUGUAAACAUGUUCCAUUGCAUGUGACAUGACUUGAUAACCUGUGUCCAAUGCAUUUGCAAUGUAUUUAGAAACUAAAAAGGCACUCCAAACAACCUUUAAGGUGUUUGUGAAAGCAAAGACGGGUGGAAUGCUUUUUUAAUGUGUUAAAAUACGACUUGUGUUACAAGAAAAUGUGUUAUUGUGAAAUGAUAGUAUAUCAAACAAGUUUUGAGCAUUUACAUUUCCAGUAGGUUGCCCUCACAAAAUGAUUUAAUAGAAUAAUCAUAUGUGUACUAUUAGCAAAUAAUAUCGCUAAAGUUCAAUGUACUAGAUAGAGGAAAGACCAAUUUUCUUGGAAAAUAUGGAUAAGGAAGGUAAUCAUGUUCAAUGAAUGGCAUUGUAAAUCAGGAUGGUAAAAUGAUGUCACACAAGCAAUUAACAAAGGUAUGUAUGGCAUAUAACCAACUCAUCACAGCUCUACGACAAAAAUGAAAGACAAUUUCUCAAAAGAGAAAGGAAUUAAUUGUUUUUUCUGCCUCCAAUGAAAAACCAGGCAUGGCUUAAAAUGAAUAGUAUAAAUCGUAAAAUAUAUCAGUUUCAUUUAACUAUUCUGCAUAAAAUUCAAGAUAGUUGGGAACAGAUUUUUGAUGUCCCAAUACCAUGGGAUCAGGUUUAUGAACUGAUAUACAAAACAACAAUUGACGCAUUAAUCCGUUCUUUUCAAUGUAACCAUUAUAUAAAAUUCUCACCACGUGGCCUCCCGAGUGGCGCAGUGGUCUAAGGCACUGCAGUGCUUGAGGCAUUUCUGCAGAUCCAUGUAAGAUCCCGGGCUGUGUCGCAGCCGUCUGUGACCGGGAGACCCAUGAGGUGACGCACGUUUGGCCCAGUGUCGUCCGGGUUAGGGGAGGGUUUGGCCGGCCGGGAUGUCCUUGUCCCAUCGCGUUCUAGUGACUCCCGUGGCGGGCCGGGCGCAUGCACGCUGACACGGUCGUCAGUUGUACAGUGUUUCCUACAACACAUUAGUGCGUGUGGCUUCCGGGUUCGGCAAGCAGUGUGUCAAGAAGCAGUGCGGCUUGGCCCUCGACCUUCACUUCUCCCGAUUCCGUACAGGGGUUGCAGGAUGGGACAAGACUGUAACUACCAAUUGGAUAUCAUGAAAUUGGGGAGAUUAUUAUUUUUUUUUUUACAUUCUCCCCACUAAAAUAAUGCUCAAUAUAUGGGGCAUUGAACAGUCGGCUCUUUGCGGACUCUACCAUGAGGAUUAUCAAUAGAUAAUCUCUUUUGACAUUGUCCUUCGGUGACUCACUUUUGGAGAGGUCCAAGAGUUGUUGUUUAUGUGAUAAUGCCAGAGAAGCCAGUGUUAGGAUUUAAAUACUGGCACGGGUGUUGUUAGGACAGUGACGAAGUCGAGCAAACCGUGCCAAUAUAUCCUUCAAACACCGGCUUCGAGGGCAUUAUCACUUUUAUACAACGGCUUACCAACAUAUUCAAAUAAUGAUUGACAUAUUUUCUUUAAAAACUUUCAGUAUUUUUUGUUCUGUAUCUAUGGACGCGACCCAGUCGUUCAUUCUAAAUGUUCCAUUGACAUACUGGCUGGCAACAUUCUGCUUGCUAGCUAGCCAACUAGUUAACUAGCUAACUUACAGUCACAUCAAAAAGUGCAGCCAGAAUAACAGCAAAGUAACCACGUUUGCAUUUGUUUAAACUGUUUUCUUAGUGACAUUAAUUUCGAUACAUCCAUAACAAUGAGCGAAUGAGGUGCGAUUUCGCCUGGCAAAGAAAAUUUGCUCACUCAUCAGGACACUGUUGUUCAGAGGAGCUAGCCAACAACACAGCUAGCACAAUCACUUCAAACUGAAACUGGAAAGACUGCAAACUAUCUUCGUUUUGUUUGACCUUUUUUCAAUUGACAUUUCUUUGAAUAUAUCCAUAAAAAGUUAUGCCAGCUGAUUCAUGAUUACGACUGGCUGAGAUACGCUGCCUGCCUGUCUGUCUCGUCUGGACUCCAGACAUAUUCAUUACUAUGGGACAGCUGGAGAUCGAAUUUGAAUAUUGAAACAAUGUUGCAAAUGUCCGAGAGACAGGCAGCAAGGUUUAUACAAAUCUUCGCUGUAGAAAAUGAAAUGUUAGUCUAGAAGAAAUAUGAGAUAAUGUCUAGAUGCUUUUUAUAGUAGAGAUCAAGUUUAUACAUUUCUUGGCUGGGCUGAUGAGAGAGUAGAUUGCGCAGAUGGAACAGGCACCGGUGGAACUUGUGGAAUAAACACCAGCCGGAAUGUGGUUUUAACCAAUCUGCAUUCAGGAUUAGGCCCACCCGUUCUAUAAUAAAUCAUAAAAUCUGUCAUCAGAUGGACCUACAAACAGUAUUGUUAAGAGAUUUGAAAAACAAGCAUCAAUCAAUGGGAAAUAUGAUUAUACUCCUAGGUAAAAAAUAUUUAUUUUUAGGGCAAUCUCGAUAGAAAUGCUACAAAUAGAGAGGUUCAAGACCCUUGUAAAACAUCACAGUAAAAUAGAAGGAUGUAUUGCAAAGGGAAAUAGUAAAAUGGUAGUGUACUGGGAAAGAUGGGUUAGUCUAUGGACAUCUGAGGGUUGGAAUUAAGAUUGGAGCGAUUGGUUGAUUGGCCAUAUAAAUAUAUACCAGUACCAGUCAAAAGUUUGGAAGCACCUACACAUUCCAGUGUUGUUGUUUAAAAAAAAACUAUUUUCUACAUUGUAGAAUAAUAGUGAAGACAUCAAAACUAUGAAAUAAUACAUAUGGAAUCAUGUAGUAACCAAAAACAUCAAAAUAGAUUUUUAGAUUCUUCAAAGUAGCCACCCUUUGCCUUGAUGACAGCUUUUCACACUCUUGGCAUUCUUUCAACCAGCUAUUUGGUAAAAGACCAAGUUCAUAUUAUGUCAAGAACAGCUCAAAUAAGUUAGGAGAAAUGACAGUCCAUCAUUACUUUAAGUUAUAAAGGUCAUUUAAUCCGGAAAAGUUUUAUAAUGAAACUGUCUCUCAUGAGGACCGCCACAGGAAACGAAGACCCAGAGUUACCUCUGUUGCAGAGGAUAAAUUAAUUAAUAACUGCACCUCAGAUUGCAGCCAAAAUACACUUUUUUUGGUUACUACAUUAUUCCAUAUGUGUUAUUUAAUAUUUUUGAUGUCUUCACUAUUAAUCUGCAAUGUAGAAAAUAAGAAAAAUAAAGAAAAUCCCUUGAAUGAGUUGGUGUGUCCAAACUUUUGACUGGUCCUUUAUUGGCCAGUCCAAAAUUACUUUAAUUCUGUAAUGGAAAUAAAUGUAUUUCCUUUUACCAAGUAAUUUACGGUGUCUAUGCCUUUAGUUUUCCAUGUGGACCAAGUUAUCGUGGAAUGCUGAAAGCAAAGGAUUGGCCAUAAGGUUGUGUUUUUAGGAAGUGAUAUUGGUUUUUGUACAACAAUUUUCUUCCAUAUUGUUAUAGUUUUCUUAACUAUGAAGUUUUUAAUGUUCUUUGCUUUAUCCUUUGAAAAUAGACACUUAAAAAGAUUCUGUGGAUGAGUCUGCACAUCUUCAAUAUGUACCCAUUGUUCCUCUUUAGUGCAUUUAACUGCAUGUCGCAAGUAAAAGCCUUGAGUAGCGAGUUGAUACAAUUCCAAGACUGGAAAAUGUCAAUAUUUUACUAGACCAUAGAAAGUCUGUUAUGACCGAGAAUACUUUUUUAGAGAAUGUCUUCGGUGGGGUAAUUUAUAUUGCUUAAAUAAAUACAAAAACCUUCAGAGCCAUGCCAUUCUAAAGAGGUUUAUUCUGCCUGUAAGAUUUAUGGAAAGAUUAUUGUUUUUAAUUUGAUCUGCUUUCAUAUUGUUGAGUAAUAGAAUAAAGUUAUCGUCAUACACUGAACAAAAAUAUGUAAAGUAUGCAACAUGUAAAGUGUUGGUCCCAUGUUUCGUGAGUUGAAAUAAAAGAUCACAGAAAUGUUUUGUAUGCACAAAAAGCUUAUUACUCUCAUAUUUUGUGCACAAAUGUAUUUAUAUCCCUGUUAUUGAGCAUUUCUCCUUUGCCAAGAUAAUCCAUCCACUUGAUGAGUGGCAUAUCAAGAAGCUGAUUAAACAGCAUGAUCAUUAAACAAGUGCACGUUGUACUGGGGACAAUAAAAGGC
ensembl:lncRNA